rnacentral:lncRNA from 1 species
AAGAUAUAAGAUAAAGCCAAAAACAAGCUACGAACAUUUUCACAUGGAUUUUAAACAGGUUUUUCAGAUAACAACAAGGAUACAUUGUCCUAAGAAAAGAUAAAGCCAAUAACAAGCUACGAACAUUUUCACUUUGGAUUUUAAACAGGCUUUUCAGAUAACAAGGAUACAUUGUCCUAAGAAAAGAUAAAGCCAAUAACAAGCUACGAACAUUUUCACUUUGGAUUUUAAACACGCUUUUCAGAUAACAACAGGGAUUACUUGCAAAGGUUCAGCCAUUUGAACGGUGAGUCCAAACUUCUCUUCCAUGUUCAUCUCUUUUGGUGAGAUCCCACCUUCAAGUUUCCAAUCAAAAGAGUUAAUAAGAGAUCCUAACAUCAGAUACAACAUUCGAUUCGCCAAAGGUAAUCCUGGGCAUAUUCGGCGUCCGGCUCCGAACGGAAUCAACCCAAAAUCCCUACCUUUGACAUCAAUUUCGGACCCCAAGAAUCUCUCUGGCAUAAAACUGUUUGGAUUUUCCCAAAUACUUGAAUCUCUACCGAUGGCCCAUGCAUUAACCAACACUUGUGAACCCUCUGGAACGUGGAAACCACAAAGGUCGGUGUCGGAGCCAGCUCUACGCGGAAGUAAUAGCGGGACUGGAGGAUGCAUUCGAAAGGUUUCUUUGAUAAUUGCUUGCAAAUAUGGUAAACUAUUUAUGUCUGAUUCCUCAAUUGGUUUCCCUUUACCGAUUACUUGAUCUAAUUCUUUCUUGACUUUAAGUAAAACAUGUGGAUUUUGAAGUACUUCUGCCAUUGCCCACUCUAAUGUAUUUGAUGUCGUAUCAGUUCCGGCGACAAAUAGAACCUGUCAUCUAACAUGAUUAAACCAAAGAACUAGCAUUCGUAAUGAAUAGAUGUCAGGAUAUCUUUUUUUCUAAAUAUUAAUGUGUAAAGAUAAGGCGAGAAGAAUAUUUUAUAACCCAAUCACGCCAAGACAGUCUGUUUCAUACAUAUCGAUACGCAAGACACUAUGAGAAAAAAAACGAACUGGAACCAGGCACGCUGUCCCCCAGAUAUAUUUUUGUGAUUUAACGAAGAAUUAGCAAAAAAAAAAAAAAAUUGGAGAUGAAAAACUCUGAUUAGCAAACAUGAAUUAUAACUGGAUCAUUUAUGAAGAGAAAAAUUAAAGGUAGAUAGAAAAAUUACCAGAAAUAAGUGUUUGAUAUGAUCUUUAUUAAGUUCUUCGAUAUCGCCUUCAAUGAUGUCGAGAAGAGUAUCCAAAACAUCAUUUGAUGCGGUAUAAUCUGGGGAUUUUCUUGAUUGCUGUCUUUCAUCCAUCAUAUUGCCGAAAAGUUUAAGCAAAUUGUCGGAAUGAACAGUCAUCCGGCGCCGUACACCUUGUGGAUCCAUCUUUCUAAGCAAAGGGAAAUAAUCAGCCAAAUUAGGCUUCCCUGCCUCUACCAUGAUACUGUUAACUGUUUUCCUGAAUACUUGCGCUCUAGCUGAAUUUGGGCCAACCAAAUCCACUGAAAACAUAGUGUUGGACAACAAAUUAAUGGUAGUAUCAAAAGCAGCUUGGCCUAUGUUAAUGGCUUCACAUUUAAGGCAACUUUCGCCAACUUUAGCAAUCAGUUGUUGAAUCUUGUGCCGACGCAGGUAUUCAUUGGCAUCGAGUUUCAGACUAGAGAAAAUAUGGGUAUUACCGACUUUGCGAAGAGUUCUCCAAAGCGGCGACACAGGUAUCCAUGGCAUCCCAAAUUCAUAGUGUUGGCUGGCUCGAAUUGCAUCCACAAUGGUUCGGUUGCAGAAUAUAAGGUCCUGUUUUUGAAGGAUCUCUUUGGCCGUUGUUUCCGAGGAGACGACGACGGUGAUUAAGCUGCCGAGUUUGAGACCCAUAACGGGGCCAUGAAUCUGAGCAAACUUAGCCAAAGACCUGUGGGGUUUAUCCCCAAGAUCGAAGAGAUUGCCGAUGAUUGGCUUAGGCCAUGGACCAGGUGGGAGCUUGCGUUGGCUUGAUUUACGUCCAUUUCUAAAUGAGUUGAAAGCCUGAAGCAGGAGCCAAGUGAAGAGCAGACAUAGCAAGGAGCUUGUUAACAAAUCCAUCUCUCCCUUAUUCGUAUCAAAGAACGGUCUCAGUUUUAAAGGGAUGUGAAUGUUAGUGAACGUUAGUCAAAACACAUUAACAAUGUUGAAUUCGUACAUGAAAACCAUUCUAGAGUGUUCCACACGUUAACAAUGUUGAAUUCAAAUCCUAUCCUAUACAUAUAUAUCUCCAAAGUAGAAUGUGCCUCGUCCAGAAUUGCUUGACUGCUAAGGGAAGGCAUGCAUGAAUAGCGGAAGUUGAAUACUAAUUUUAUUAAUCAGGAUAAAAGAAAGAUUUAGUACUUGAAUUUUCAUCUUUAAAAAUUUUUCAUCCUUAAAAUUUUUUCAUCCACUUUAAUUUUGUAACACUAACAUGUAUCAGCAAAGUAGAAAAAAAUCUUUUAAAUAUUUUGUUUACAAUUUUAUAUUCUUUUUAGGUUUAUUUUGUACGCUGUUCUUAUUUGGGUCACUUGUCGUUAAAUUGAUAACAUAAAUAAUGGCAUGACAUUUUUCUAACUGGUAUAAUAACACAUUUAAUUAUUAAUACUUAUGCAUUCUACCAAUUUGAAGCUUGUCGUUUAUGAUUUUGAUGGAAGUGACAAAAAUGACCAAACUAUAUAAUAUAGGUGCCUAAAUUAUAAACUUUUCAUUCUAAGUGCCUAAAAUAACUUCUUCUUUUUUUAUAAUUGGAUGACUAUCUACACAGUUUACCCUAUAAAAUAAAAUAUAUUGUGCUGUAUAAAUUUUAAUGUGUAUUUAUAUCAUGUUCAUAUUAUUUUAAAAUUUUAAAAUUAUUUUUUCAUAUCAUGUAAUUAUAUCGUACCUAUAAUUAUUAAAUACAAUGUUAAUUAUAACAUAUCAACAUUUUAAUUUAAAAAAUACUAAAGAUAAUAAAAAUUUAGUUGUAACUCCCCAAAAUUCUAUUUAAAAGUUUUCUAUAUGCAAUUCUGUUAGAAAGCUUAUAAUGUUAGAAAACCCAUAACUAGAGGCAUGCGCAAUGCUUGUAACGUAUCCAAGCAAAAGGAAAUUUAUUUCCUCAAUUCUCGCAUAGUCAAUGCCUUUUUGACUUUUAGACUUAUUAAUUUUAAAAUUUUCUAAUUUACUUGCAAUAAAGAGGUAGGGAUCAAAUUGAAAAUAUACAAAAAUUGAGGGUUAAAUUUAUUAUUAUAUUUUAUAUAUAAACACCAAAUUGUAAUGAAUGAGUUAUUUUGUUCACUCAUCUUACGGAUAAGGAUAAUUUACCUAUUUUCUCAAUAGAAGGGCUAUAAUGCAAUCCAAGAUAUAGUAAGGGGUUUUGUGGUACUUUUAUCAAAUUUAAUUAUUUUACAACGAUAUUUAAGAUUUUGAAUUUUGAUCCAAAAUUUAUGAGGUAAACUCACAAAUAGUUAGCUAACUAUAAACUUUUUGUAACGCCCCUAACUCGAAUCUGUCGCCAGAAUAGGGUUACGAAGCAUUACUGAAAUUUAUAAAUUAAUUAUCAAACAUUUCGUUUCAUCUAGCAUUUAUAUUUGAAACCAAUCAAAAUUAAAAUAUUAAUGAGCCAAUGUUGGCCAAAUUAACUUUUACAUGCCAUUAUAACUAGAAUCAAAUCAUCUAAAAUUAUCGAUAGAACCAAUGGAUAGUGUGAUAUAUCUUCGACAAACUUCCAACCCAAUCGAGCUUCUAAUAAUCUGUAGGGUAAAUAAAAACAAAUACGUAAGCAAUGAAUGCUUAGUAAGCUCGUAUAGUCUUUAAUCAUAUUAGUUCAUUUAAAAUAUGAAAUCUAUACAUAUCAAGGAUAACCCAAUAUUGAUACCACAAUACUCAUGAAGCUAUAUUCAUCAACUCACAAGGUGAAAUAAUCCACACUAUCACCUAAACAUAUUAUCCCAAGCUUAGUAAGAUUUUAUAUAACUUUAACUCUUCAUAAUUUUUUUUUAAUUUUCAUUUGUAUUCAUUUACUUUCCACGCUUAUUCCAUAUGCAUGUCCCACAAGUCAUAAACAUAUCAUUCAACCAUGGUUAUAAGCUAGUGCAUUUAACCAAAGCCUUUCCCAAACUAAUCACAUGAUAAGUCAUUUCAUAAGAAAUUGCUUAAUUUAAACCUUACCACUUUUUCAUGAGCACUAGCAUAUUUUCACUUAAAUACUUACCAAUUCAACUAAUAGCUUGGCACUUGCCUAAGCAUCAAACAACAACACUAGUUAGCAUACUUGCACAUAUUACAUAUAAUUUCAACUUUGAUAAACUUAUUUUCUUAACAUGUCAUACUUGAGUUAUUUACUUGUCUCCACUUACAUAAUUUUCAUAUAUCAACAUAUCAAGAUAUUGAUUUAAAUACAUAUCAUAAUACAUAUCAUUCUCUUACCAUUUCUUCAUAUUCAUAUAUAUAUAUCAUUCAAGACAACUCCCGAUAUUUUACCUUUCAGAGAACGACUUAUGGAUAUGAGUACAUCGUUUUCAAACGCCCAAAGGCUUAACAGAAGCUCAUGAGAGCUAAACAGAUAGUAAACACGAAAGUCUGCAACAAAUACUGAACCUCGAUUUACUUGGGUAAUUUUCCAUCAAUUCAUCCUUUACAUUCGUAGUGCCAUAACCCAGUUAUGGUCUUAUCAUCAGAAUGCCAUAGCCCAGCUAUGGUCUUAUCAUCAGAAUGUCAUAGCCUAGCUAUAGUCUUACAUAUAAACACUGUCAUGGUCCAACCAUGGUCUUACGCUCAUAGUGCCAUAACCCAGUUAUGGUCUUAUCUGUCAAUUCAUCCUUUGGCACAAAACGAUUGUACUCAAUUCCGUGUUCAAUCCAAACUGAAUAUUAAAUUCGAUAAUAUAUUUCCAAUAAUAAUUCAAUUCCAUGUUUUCUAUUACCCUUAUUAUUUCUCAUAUUUAUCCUGUUGAAUUUCUCGAAAAUUCGAUGAAUUUUCAGAGGUACACUUUUGGCGUACAAAUUCGGGUCUGUCAGUUCAUAUUCAUGUGUACACAUUUCCAUUUCAGAUAGCACACUCCCGCGAACCUCAUCCUUACAGCGGAAUUACCAGUCCAUGCUAAAUCCCCUGUAAUAUAAACUCAUAGAGUAUUGUCAGGAUUACUAGUCCAGGCUAAAUUCCCUGCAACAGCAAUUACUCUAAUGAGCUUGGAUCUGAAUUACCAGUCUAGGUUAAAUUCAGACCCUAAUUCAGAUUACUCGUCCGGGUUAAAUCUAUUUUCCACAUAUUCUUCGGGAGGGCUAUAUCAGGAUAGGAUCACCCAUCUAGGCUAGAUCCUUUUUACCGUCAAUUCCUUUUCAGAAAUCCAUCAAAUUUUCCUUUCAUUCAACUCGGAUUUAUUUUCCCUUUUCAUCAAGAAUAUCAAUACUUCAUCAGUUAUCAUACAAUGAACAUCCAAAUCAUAUUAACAUCAAUAAAAAUAUAUUUCAAGCAUUUAAGAAUAUAAUUUAAGUUACACGAACUUACCAGGCUAAAUUGUAAGAAUACCAAGAUAUAGGGGCAUUUUGGUAAUUUUUCAUUUCCCUCGAUUAUCUACCCGAUCUUGAUCUAAAUUAUUAUUUCAUUCGAUUUAUUAAUUUAAAUAAAAAUAAUUCAUUUCACGCAAUUUGGUCAUUUUUGACAUUUUUACAAAAUUGCCCCUAAAAUUUUAUUUUUAUUCAAUUUAGUCCAUGAGUCCAAAUCAUGCAAAUUAACCAUUAUUAAUGCAAACCCAUCCUAGCAAAAAUAUUCAUAUAUUUUCCUCCUCCUCUCCAUUCCACAUCCUUAAUGUAUAUAACAUGCUUAUGUGUAGUAUUAUCUAUAAUUCUACUAUUUACUUAUGUUCGUAUCAAAGCUGUCUAUGUGAGUCAUAGUCAAUAAAUAUUUAUAUCUUGAGUUACGGAACUCUGAAUUAAGAUCCGCUAAAUUUAUAUGAAACUAGACUCACAUAUAUUCUUACCAUAAAAUUUUCAGAAUUUAUGGUUUAGCCAAUAAGUACAGUUUAUUCUUUAAAGUCAUCCCUAUUCUGUUAUUUGACAGUUUCGAUCCUUCUUCACUAAAAAUUAAUUAUCUCCUCGUACGGGAUUCAGAUAAUGUUCCCGUUUGUUUCUAUUGAAAAUAUACUCAUUAAUAAUUUUAAACAUAUAAAUAAUAACCCAUAAAUAUUUGUAUGCAAUUUUUAAUGAUUUUCCAAAUUUAGAACAGGGAAAAACGAAAUCAUUCUAACAUUGUCUCACCAAAUUUAUUAUAUCUCAUAAUUUACAAUUUCAUUGCUUACACCGUUUUUUCUAUGAGAAACUAGACUCAAUAAUCUUUAACUCCAUAUUUUUUUCAUCUUCUAAUUUGAGUUUCACAAUUUAUGGUGAUUUUUCAAAGUUAGCCUACUGCUGUUGUCUAAAAACUAUUUUAGUGCAAGAUGUUGAUUACCAAGUUUAUAUCUCCCUUAUUCCCUUUUUCUAUAAUAUUUCCCAUCACUUUCUCUUAUUUCUCUUCACUAACAUAUCAAGAACAUAAAAUCUUAUAUAAGAAAACUCUACUGUAACAUCAUUUCCAUGCUUUUUCAAUAAUAGCAAACUUAAAAAUAUAUUGAAAUCUUACAUCUAAUAAUCUACUAACUUUCAAAAUUUCAAUAUAAAUCAAGUAGUAUUUAUCUCUAGGGUUUCAAAAACUCAAAAAUUACAAGAAAAUAACUUAAUUUAACUUACCAAUUAAACUUCGAACUUGAAAUCUUUAAUUUUCCCUUUAUCCUUCUUUCCUUUUUCUUUCCUUCCUAUUUUCGUUUGCUCUUGUUUCUUUUUUUUUUUGUUUUGUUUCUUUCCUUUCUCAUUUCCUUUAUCUUAUUUACCUAUUUAUAAAUAUCUAUUACUUAAAUAAAUAUUUGUAUUACAAAUGUAUACCUAUAUAUUAUUACAUUUGUAUACUAUUAUCACCAUACACUUGUCUUUCUUUAAUUUAUAAUAAUAAUAAAAAUAUCAUUUAAAAAUUAAAUUAAAAUAUUAAUAAACUAAUAUUUUUUAAUUAAUCUAAAAUAUCUCUAACAUCAUCAUUAUCUUCUAGAUUUCUCUCUUCUAAUUGAUCAUUUUGCGCUUUAUGAUUUUUUAAAAUUUCAUCAUUGAGUCAUUAUUUAAUUUGAUAAAAUUAUAAUUUAGUCCCUCAUAAUUCUUCACAUAUUCAAUUUGGUCCUAAUUCAUCCAUUUUCCUUAAUUUUUAGAUCAUUUCACCCUUAAAAUAUUUUCACUAUUGGUCCUUCAAUUUUUCAUAUUUACACUUUAACCCCUCAAAUUUUGAGUAUUUCCUCUUGGUCAACAAAAGUUUUCUCACUUUUGCGAUUUAACCCUUUCUUGCAUUAAUAUGUCAUAAUAUACUUCUCAAUGUUGACAUAACUCAAAAUUUCCUUUUUUGUCACUUUUUAUAUAUUUUUUAAGUUUAUUAUAUACUUUGUAUUUUUAUAUAUUUCUUUAAUUUUUUAGAGUAAGUACCAAAUUGAGAAUAUUUGUAAAUUUUGAGAGUUAAUUUUUUAAAAUUAUAACUAAAUCGAUAUAAUAUAUAAAAAUUGAGGGCUAAAUUUAGUAUUAUACUAAUUUUUUAAUAGCCAUAUCAACUUACCAUUUGUGAUUUUAACAGAGUGACUAAAAUUGCCACACUAUGUAAUAUGAGUGUUUAAAUUACAAAUUUUUUAUUUUGAAGGACUAAAAUACAUAAUUAAAAAUAUUAAAUCUUAACUGAUUGGAAAGUAGAGUAGAUGGAAUAUGAAAAUUAAGAAUAUGUUUCAUAAGUCUCAUAUUCUGAAGUGAAAUCAGUGAGAAGUGCAUGAUAUGAUAAUAUCAGCAACACCGAAAUAACAAUGAUAGAAAUAGACAAGCUUGUGAUCAUUUGUCUGAAUAAAGCCAAAAACAAGCUACGAACAUUUUCACUUGGAUUUUAAACAGGUUUUUCAGAUAAGAACAAGGAUACAUUGUCCUCAGAAAAGAUAAAGCCAAUAACAAGCUACGAAUUUUCACUUUGGAAUUUAAACAGGCUUGUCAGAUAACAACAGGGAUUGCUUGCAAAGGUUCAGCCAUUUGAACGGUGAGUCCAAACUUCUCUUCCAUGUUCAUCUCUUUUGGUGAGAUCCCACCUUCAAGUUUCCAAUCAAAAGAGUUAAUAAGAGAUCCUAACAUCAGAUACAACAUUCGAUUCGCCAAAGGUAAUCCUGGGCAUAUUCGGCGUCCGGCUCCGAACGGAAUCAACCCAAAAUCCCUACCUUUGACAUCAAUUUCGGACCCCAAGAAUCUCUCUGGCAUAAAACUGUUUGGAUUUUCCCAAAUACUUGAAUCUCUACCGAUGGCCCAUGCAUUAACCAACACUUGUGAACCCUCUGGAACGUGGAAACCACAAAGGUCGGUGUCGGAGCCAGCUCUACGCGGAAGUAAUAGCGGGACUGGAGGAUGCAUUCGAAAGGUUUCUUUGAUAAUUGCUUGCAAAUAUGGUAAACUAUUUAUGUCUGAUUCCUCAAUUGGUUUCCCUUUACCGAUUACUUGAUCUAAUUCUUUCUUGACUUUAAGUAAAACAUGUGGAUUUUGAAGUACUCCUGCCAUUGCCCACUCUAAUGUAUUUGAUGUCGUAUCAGUUCCGGCGACAAAUAGAACCUGUCAUCUAACAUGAUUAAACCAAAGAUCUAGCAUUCGUAAUGAAUAGAUGUUAGGAUAUCUUUUUUUCUAAAUAUUAAUGUGUAAAGAUAAGGCGAGAAGAAUAUUUUAUAACCCAAUCACGCCAAGACAGUCUGUUUCAUACAUAUCGAUACGCAAGACAAUAUGAGAAAAAAAACGAACUGGAACCAGGCACGCUGUCCCCCAGAUAUCUUUUUGUGAUUUAACGAAGAAUUAGCAAAAAAAGAAAAAAAGAAAAAAAGAUGGAGAUGAAAAACUCUGGUUAGCAAACAUGAAUUAUAACUGGAUCAUUUAUGAAGAGAAUAAUUAGAGGUAGAUAGAAAAAAUUACCAGAAAUAAGUGUUUGAUAUGAUCUUUAUUAAGUUCUUCGAUAUCGCCUUCAAUGAUGUCGAGAAGAGUAUCCAAAACAUCAUUUGAUGCGGUAUAAUCUGGGGAUUUUCUUGAUUGCUGUCUUUCAUCCAUCAUAUUGCCGAAAAGUUUAAGCAACUUGUCAAAAUGAACAGUCAUCCGGCGCCGUACACCUUGUGGAUCCAUCUUUCUAAGCAAAGGGAAAUAAUCAGCCAAAUUAGGCUUCCCUGCCUCUACCAUGAUACUGUAAACUGCUUUCCUGAAUUCUUGCGCUCUAGCUGAAUUUGGGUCAACCAAAUCCACUGAAAACAUAGUGUUGGACAACAAAUUAAUGGUAGUAUCAAAAGCAGCUUGGCCUAUGUUAAUGGCUUCACAUUUAAGGCAACUUUCGCCAACUUUAGCAAUCAGUUGUUGAAUCUUUUGCCGACGCAGGUAUUCAUUGGCAUCGAAUUUCAGACUAGAGAAAAUAUGGAUAUUACCGACUUUGCGAAGAGUUCUCCAAAGCGGCGACACAG